rnacentral:rRNA from 1 species
UGACUAGCUAACUGAAAUCUUAAGAUCAUUUAACAAUGGUACUUGAGAUAACGUAAGGGAAAAAAAUGAUAUUACCUUACUAUAAGUGUUGUCCAACAUUACUGGUGCCAGAAGACUCGGUAACGCCAGAAACGCAAACGUUAGUCGUCCUAAUCAGGCGUAAAGGGUAAGUAGGCUGCUUUAAAAGUUAUUAAUUAGAAAGCUCUUUAAAUUUUUAAAGUAAUUAAUAAUGAAUUAAAGCUAGAAUCAAACAGAGGAUAAGCCAAAUAAUGUUUAGAGUAGGGAUGAAAUCCGGAGAUACUAAAUGGAAUACUAAUGGUGAAAACUUUUAUCUAAUAAUGAUUGACGCUGAGGAACGAAGGUGAGAAUAGAAAAUAGGAUUAGAGACCCAGAUAUCUCUCACUGUCAACGAUGAAUGGUGGUUGUUAGUUUUAAAAUAAACUAGUAACGAUGUUAACGCGAUAACCAUUUCCGCCUUGCGAGUACGGUUGCAAAACUGAAACCAAAAAAAUUAGUCGGUGCUCGGAGCAAACGA